GAAGGCACAGAAAUCCCACGGUAUGCUGUCUGCAGGAAAGCUGGGCGUGGAAUUCGGCUGAGUUCAAAGGCCUGAGAAGCAGGGGAGCUGAUGACGUAAACCCCUAGCCAAUGACGGGAAGUUACGGUAUAAUCUAGAACAGUGGCAAACCUUUAGAGCUUUCAGUGACAACAAACAGCCCAUGUGCCACAGGUUGGCCACCACUGGCCUGGAAUAAUGCUUCACAUGUAGGAGUUCUUAUUAUGGAAACAGUGGUGCACUGGAAACUUCAGAAUGGUUAAUUCAAUCAACAAACAUCAACAGUAUUCUAAGUGUUAGGCCUUGGAAGAUGCAAAAUGUUAACUGACAUUUUCA
rnacentral:lncRNA from 1 species